GGCGCUGUGGCUUAGCUAGUUAAAGUGCCCGUCUUGGAAACAGGCGAUCCUGGGUUUAAAUCCCAGCUGUGCCU
rfam:Larimichthys crocea isolate SSNF unplaced genomic scaffold scaffold495, whole genome shotgun sequence.